rnacentral:lncRNA from 1 species
AAGUUAAGAAAUAAGUAUUUAAAAAUUAAUCUAGAAAGCGCGUCAUAUCGGUUAUUAAAAUAAUUAAUUUUUAAAAUUAAAUUCUUAAAAUUUUAAAACUUAAUAUAUAAUAAAUUUAAUCUUAAAAUUUUAAAUUUUUAAUUUUUAGAAUGCAAAAUUUAUUUCAGAAAAAUCACUUUGUAUUCAAUUUCUCACCCAAACGGUUUAGAGCUUUUAACUAAAGUCAGUUCCUCAAAUCAAAAUCAAUUACGCGAAAUUCAUUUUUUCAAAAUCUAGACCAAACGGGCAUUGAUAAAGCAUUUGACGACCUCAUUUUCGAAAUUUGAUUCUAGUUUUUUGAAUCAAUUUUCUACUUUUAAGAUCCAAAAUCAGAAAUAGUAAAAAUUACUUCUUUAAAUCCGAUUAUGAUUUAAAAUUUUAAAAAUUUAUUAAGUUAAAAAUAUAAAAUUUUAAAUUUUAAAAUUUAAAAUUUAAAAUUUAAAAUUUAAAAUUUAAAAUUUAGAAAUGCAUAAAUAAUAAAAUAAUUAAAACUUUUAAAAGNCACGAGCUGGCUCACGAGCUUGCCAACGAACAAUAAAUUAAAACAAAUUAGAUUAAAUAUAUAUAAAAAAUAAAUUUAUAAAAUCUUAUCCAUUAGACUUUGAUUUAAUAGUUGAAACUUUACAUAUAAAUGAGUCUUUUUAUAAUUAAGCUCGUAUUUAUAUUUUUAUUUUAUUAAAAAUUAAAGGCCAAUUUGCAUAAAAAAUUCACUUAUUUUGGGCUUUUGCAAAACCGAGUCACAUUUUUCUUUUUUGGAGAUUCGGCCCAUAUUUUCAGCAAACUGACCAAAAUACCCUUGUUACUUUUUCUCUCUCCUUUUUUUUUUCUCUCGUUCUUUUUUUUCUCUCUCUAAAGAACGCAGCGAUGGCGGAGGCGGAGGCGGAGGCAGAGGCGGAUGUGGAAACAGCCCGCCUCACCUCCGCCCCGCACGCCCUCACCCUCGCCCGUGCAACCCCACCCUCCUCGCCUCCGACCCCGUCAAGACUGCACCGCAACUCCUUUUUUUUUCCCCCUCUCCCACCCACCUCCACCGCCUCUGACGACGACCCGCCUCCGACGACGACGCCUUUCUCACCCUUCCCCGCUUUUUCUCGCCCUUUCCCUCUCCCUCCUCCUUCGUUUCUCUCGCCACUUCCGACGAUGACGCCUCUCUGCCGAUGCUGACGCCGCGAA